rnacentral:pre_miRNA from 1 species
AAUGGACUUGCUGGGACAUAUGAUAAUUCCCUGUUUAGCUUUUUGAAGAAUUUCCUAAUUGUUUUCCAAAGUGACUGCAUCAUUUUGCAUUCCCAUUAGCAAU